UACGUAUGGUGCGAGCGUUGUCCGGAAUUAUUGGGCGUAAAGAGCUCGUAGGCGGUUUGUCGCGUCUGCUGUGAAAACUCGGGGCUUAACUCCGGGCCUGCAGUGGGUACGGGCAGACUAGAGUGCGGUAGGGGAGACUGGAAUUCCUGGUGUAGCGGUGAAAUGCGCAGAUAUCAGGAGGAACACCGGUGGCGAAGGCGGGUCUCUGGGCCGUAACUGACGCUGAGGAGCGAAAGCGUGGGGAGCGAACAGG
rnacentral:rRNA from 1 species